CCUACGGGGGGCAGCAGUCGAGAAUUUUUCUCAAUGGGGGAAACCCUGAAGGAGCGACGCCGCGUGGAGGAUGAAGGCUUUCGGGUUGUAAACUCCUGUCAUUUGGGAACUAGUACCAGAAGAGGAAGAGACGGCUAACUCUGUGCCAGCAGCCGCGGUAAUACAGAGGUCUCAAGCGUUGUUCGGAUUCAUUGGGCGUAAAGGGUGCGUAGGUGGCGCCGUAAGUCGGGUGUGAAAUUUCGGAGCGCAACUCCGAAACUGCAUUCGAUACUGCGGUGCUUGAGGACUGGAGAGGAGACUGGAAUUCAUGGUGUAGCAGUGAAAUGCGUAGAGAUCAUGAGGAAGACCAGUGGCGAAGGCGGGUCUCUGGACAGUCCUGACACUGAGGCACGAAGGCCAGGGGAGCAAACGGGAUUAGAUACCCCUGUAGUC
rnacentral:rRNA from 1 species